UGUGCUACAGCUGAAAGCCAGAGUUUCUCUUGGUACUACAAAGGAAACAUUUUAUACCAGGAACUCUCAAUGGAUGAAAUAUUUAUAUAAUAUGGAUCACAUACACUUCUCUUUCCCCUUUUGAAGUAAAACAAAGGCCAGAUAUUUCCAGCUGAAAUUACAUGAGGGAUCUUAACUAAACAGAACUUUUAAACAUGGUUGGAACUUCACCAGAAACUUCCAGCUGAAGUCUCGACUCUUGCAUCACGCCUUGCCAUUAUGAGGAAGCAUGUGGCGACCAGCCCUGCUGAAGAGGCGGCCCUCCCAUUCCUGCACAAGAAAAUGAUGUAAUAUAAGAUAAAAAAAAAAAAAGAAGAAGAAAAAGAAAAAGAAGAACAAGAACCUUGCUAGCAUACUUGGUAUACUUUUGUUCUAUAAUACUUAUAUUUACAGCACUACGUAUAUGAGCAGAACUGUAGAAUGUACCACGUGAUCCACAAGUGAAUUCCAACUUGAAAUCUGGGUACUGAAAUUAAUCUUUUAGAUGAAUUACUGCACAACUGGAGUGAUUAUAUUCAACAUUGGCCUGGUUUGCAGGUUGCCAAACUGAGGCAAGGAUCUUCUACACCACUCUCCGUGUUUAAAUACAUGUUGAACUUAAAAUAAUCAAGAAAAUGUAAACGGGUAACUCAGAGGCAUUUAACAAAAUCAAACACCAUCAGAUACAAUCAGACUGAAAUGAAAUGGCAGCGCCACUGGGACUCUGCAAUGAAGUUAAUUACAUAGUUUCUAUUAUUUCCAAGAAAACAGUAAACAGUAAUAUUUCCAUAUACUCUAAAUAUAAUAGUUGCACAAUUUGCACUAAUGCCUUUCUUUAUUGAACAGAACUAGGAAAGUCCAAUUCUGAUUUUACUCUUAAUGUAGUGAGAAGUAACAUGUCUCAGACGUCUGGGAGAAACAUUUAAUUGUAGAUAUCACAUUUGAUUCCAACAAGGAAAUUAAGUACCUAUGGCAACUAUAAGGGAAGAUAAUUUAUCUCAUGUGUGGGUCUGUUUCCUGUGAUAUUUUGUAAGGGACUCUAUAAAGAACAAAAUGUAGCUAGAUAGUUAUAUCUGAUAUACAAGAUGGGUUGGUGGCUGGGGGAGGGUAACCCUGGUGCUUCCUGAAA